rnacentral:rRNA from 1 species
CUAUAGACGGCGAUAACCUCGGGAAACUGAGGCUAAUAGCCGAUACAGUUCACUACCUGGAGUGGUGUGAACUCGAAACGUUCAGGCGCUAUAGGAUGUGGCUGCGGCCGAUUAGGUAGACGGUGGGGUAACGGCCCACCGUGCCUAUAAUCGGUACGGGUUGUGAGAGCAAGAGCCCGGAGACGGUAUCUGAGACAAGAUACCGGGCCCUACGGGGCGCAGCAGGCGCGAAACCUUUACACUGCACGCGAGUGCGAUAAGGGGACUCCAAGUGCGAGGGCAUAUAGUCCUCGCUUUUCACCACCGUAAGGAGGUGGUAGAAUAAGUGCUGGGCAAGACCGGUGCCAGCCGCCGCGGUAAUACCGGCAGCACGAGUGAUGACCGCUAUUAUUGGGCCUAAAGCGUCCGUAGCUGGCCACGCAAGUCUAUCGGGAAAUCUGCGCGCUUAACGCGCAGGCGUCCGGUGGAAACUGUGUGGCUUGGGACCGGAAGACCAGAGGGGUACGUCCGGGGUAGGAGUGAAAUCCCGUAAUCCUGGACGGACCACCGGUGGCGAAAGCGCCUCUGGAAGACGGAUCCGACGGUGAGGGACGAAAGCUCGGGUCACGAACCGGAUUAGAUACCCGGGUAGUCCGAGCUGUAAACGAUGUCUGCUAGGUGUGGCACAGGCUACGAGCCUGUGCUG